UGAGGAAUAUUGGUCAAUGGGCGCAAGCCUGAACCAGCCAUCCCGCGUGAAGGAUGAAGGCCCUAUGGGUCGUAAACUUCUUUUAUACACCAAGAAAAAGCAGGACGAGUCCUGUCCCGACGGUAGUGUAUGAAUAAGCAUCGGCUAACUCCGUGCCAGCAGCCGCGGUAAUACGGAGGAUGCGAGCGUUAUCCGGAUUCAUUGGGUUUAAAGGGUGCGUAGGCGGCUUUUUAAGUCAGUGGUGAAAUCUUGCCGCUUAACGGUAAAAUUGCCAUUGAUACUGAUAAGCUUGAGUACAAUUGAGGUAAGCGGAAUGUGUAGUGUAGCGGUGAAAUGCUUAGAUAUUACACAGAACACCGAUUGCGAAGGCAGCUUACUAAACUGUCACUGACGCUGAUGCACGAAAGCGUGGGGAGCGAACA
rnacentral:rRNA from 1 species